UACGAAGGGGGGUAGCGUUGCUCGGAAUCACUGGGCGUAAAGGGUGCGUAGGCGGGUCUUUAAGUCAGAGGUGAAAUCCUGGAGCUCAACUCCAGAACUGCCUUUGAUACUGAGGGUCUUGAGUAUGACAGAGGUGAGUGGAACUGCGAGUGUAGAGGUGAAAUUCGUAGAUAUUCGCAAGAACACCAGUGGCGAAGGCGGCUCACUGGGUCAUUACUGACGCUGAGGCACGAAAGCGUGGGGAGCAAACAGG
rnacentral:rRNA from 1 species